AUUGAACGCUGGCGGCAGGCUUAACACAUGCAAGUCGAGCGGAGAUGAGGUGCUUGCACCUUAUCUUAGCGGCGGACGGGUGAGUAAUGCUUAGGAAUCUGCCUAUUAGUGGGGGACAACAUUCCGAAAGGAAUGCUAAUACCGCAUACGCCCUACGGGGGAAAGCAGGGGAUCUUCGGACCUCGCGCUAAUAGAUGAGCCUAAGUCGGAUUAGCUAGUUGGUGGGGUAAAGGCCUACCAAGGCGACGAUCUGUAGCGGGUCUGAGAGGAUGAUCCGCCACACUGGGACUGAGACACGGCCCAGACUCCUACGGGAGGCAGCAGUGGGGAAUAUUGGACAAUGGGCGGAAGCCUGAUCCAGCCAUGCCGCGUGUGUGAAGAAGGCCUUUUGGUUGUAAAGCACUUUAAGCGAGGAGGAGGCUACCUGGAUUAAUACUCUAGGAUAGUGGACGUUACUCGCAGAAUAAGCACCGGCUAACUCCGUGCCAGCCGCCGCGGUAACAC
rnacentral:rRNA from 1 species